AUAACAUUCUGAAAAGAAUGCUAAUACCGCAUGACAUAUCGGAACCACAUGGUUUUGAUAUCAAAGAUUUUAUCGCUUGAAGAUGGACUCGCGUCCGAUUAGUUAGUUGGUGAGGUAACGGCUCACCAAGACCGCGAUCGGUAGCUGGACUGAGAGGUUGAACGGCCACAUUGGGACUGAGACACGGCCCAGACUCCUACGGGAGGCAGCAGUGGGGGAUAUUGCGCAAUGGGGGCAACCCUGACGCAGCAACGCCGCGUGAAGGAUGAAGGUUUUCGGAUUGUAAACUUCUUUUAUUAAGGACGAAAAAUGACGGUACUUAAUGAAUAAGCUCCGGCUAACUACGUGCCAGCAGCCGCGGUAAUACGUAGGGAGCAAGCGUUGUCCGGAUUUACUGGGUGUAAAGGGUGCGUAGGCGGCUUUGCAAGUCAGAUGUGAAAUCUAUGGGCUCAACCCAUAAACUGCAUUUGAAACUGUAGAGCUUGAGUGAAGUAGAGGCAGGCGGAAUUCCCCGUGUAGCGGUGAAAUGCGUAGAGAUGGGGAGGAACACCAGUGGCGAAGGCGGCCUGCUGGGCUUUAACUGACGCUGAGGCACGAAAGCGUGGGUAGCAAACAGGAUUAGAUACCCUGGUAGUCCACGCUGUAAAC
rnacentral:rRNA from 1 species